rnacentral:rRNA from 1 species
GUCUACAGCCAUACCACCCUGAAUGUGCCCGAUCUCAUCUGAUCUCGGAAGCUAAGCAGGAUUGGACUUAGUUAGUACUUGAAUGGGAGAACAAACAGUGACUAGGAUGGGUUGAUG